CACGUAGGGUGCGAGCGUUGUCCGGAAUUAUUGGGCGUAAAGAGCUCGUAGGCGGUGUGUCGCGUCGGCCGUGAAAACCUGCAGCUUAACUGUGGGCUUGCGGUCGAUACGGGCAUCACUGGAGUUCGGCAGGGGAGACUGGAAUUCCUGGUGUAGCGGUGGAAUGCGCAGAUAUCAGGAGGGAACACCGGUGGCGAAGGCGGGUCUCUGGGCAGUAACUGACGCUGGAGGAGCGAAAGCGUGGGGAGCGAACAGG
rnacentral:rRNA from 1 species